rnacentral:tRNA from 1 species
GCCUUGUUAGCGCAGUAGGUAGCGCGUCAGUCUCAUAAUCUGAAGGUCAUGAGGUCGAUCCUCACACGGGGCA